AUUGAACGCUGGCGGCAGGCCUAACACAUGCAAGUCGAACGAGUGGCGGACGGGUGAGUAAUGUCUGGGAAACUGCCUGAUGGAGGGGGAUAACUACUGGAAACGGUAGCUAAUACCGCAUACCCUCGGAUGUGCCCAGAUGGGAUUAGCUAGUAGGUGGGGUAAAUGCUCACCUAGGCGACGAUCCCUAGCUGGUCUGAGAGGAUGACCAGCCACACUGGAACUGAGACACUGUCCAGACUCCUACGGGAGGCAGCAGUGGGGAAUAGGGCAAGAGGGGCGCAAGCCUGAUGCAGCCAUGCCACGUGUGUGAAGAAGGCCUUCGGGUUGUAAAGCACUUGCAGCGAGGAGGCGUUGCUCGCAGAAGAAGCACCGGCUAACUCCGUGCCAGCAGCCGCGGAAAUAC
rnacentral:rRNA from 1 species